GGCUGUAGCUCGGUGGUAGAGCAGCCACCUUGCAUGCAGGUGGUCCUGGGUUCAAUGCCAAGGGUCUCCA